AGGGGAGCACUGGAUCCUGGGCUGUGUCCCCUGGCGCCUUGUGCUACAGGGCCUGCGCCACUGGAAUUGCACUGCUGGGACUCCACAGGCCCCU
rnacentral:pre_miRNA from 1 species